UCUAGUUAUAGACUGUCUCUACAUAAAAUUGUAUGAAUUCUAUAAAACACAAAUUCUAUUUAAAAGAAAAAAAAUUUAUACGCAGCUUCAAUGAUUGUGUACAUUUAUAACAUUUAAACAUGUAUAGACAGAAAAUGAGGUGUGAUCUCCUUAAGCUUAGAGCUCUUUUACAGCUACAUUACCAAUACAAAUUCACCAAUUGAAUAUAGACAAAACUUAAGCACAAUUUAGAAUUUGUGCCAUUUUGCUGAGAGUAAGCCACUGGUAUGGAACUUAAUUAUGGAAAGAUAAAAUCUGAAGUUUUCAGAUCUUUUAGGUUCAAUUUUGCUAUUAUAUUUUGGCUUAAGUUAUUCUCAUGUAAAGAAUGCCUACAUUAAUUAGAAAUCUAAUUCAGUUAUUAUAGAAACAUGAACAAAUAUAAUAUCUGAAACGAAUUUUAAAAAUCAGAUUAGUAUACAUUUGAAAUACACAUUUUUUAAUACUGUUAGUAUACUUAUUUUAUGCAAUUCAUAACCAUUAUUCAUAAGACACCCAGAUUUAUGGCAUAUUAUAAGUUUUAAGUGAAACCACUUUGUGCCAGCAGAAGUGUAAGUACAAAUUUGGGCACUGAACUCUCAUGGUAGAAAUGAUCUAGAAUAUACUUAGACUAAUUUUUAAAAAUUAUCAAAAUGAAAGUAAAAGUUAGAAAUCAUGGGACAUAUGCUUGAAACCCAUAUACAUGUAUCUGUCAGCCUUGAAAGGUCUCUUGAGAAACAGUGAUAGAGCAGAGUUUCUCAUCCUCAGCCCUGUUAGCAUGUUGGCUGGAUAAUUCUCAGGGCUCUUCUGUGUAUUGCCAUGUGUAGCAGCAUCUCUGACUUCUACCCAUUAGAUGGCAGUAGUGCUCUCAGUUGUGACAACUAAAUAUGUCUCCAACAUUGUCAAAUGUCACUGGAGGGACAAAAAUCACUCCUUGGUUGAAAACCACUGAUUCAGAGCAGCUACAGUUGUAUCUAUUAGUGUUUUCUUGAAAAUUUGAAGUGCAAAACUAUAAAUCCUUAUUUUCAGUCUGAAAUUCAGAAAGCUCUUAAAACUAGAACAUUUCUCAUUAGUUUUGUAAUAAGCUCAUUGGGUAACAAAACCUGGUCUAACAAAAAAUACUUAAACUCUCGUUUCACUUAAUGUCAGUGUUCAUAUAUAUUGCUACAGAAACAUUCAUGUGUAAUUAUAGAAUUCUGCUUCAGAACCUUCCUGAGGAGGGGUGUUAAAUAAUAGAUUUCCAAAAUCUGAAUUCCAAGACACAUUGUAAAAUAAGAGUUUUGAUAAGAGAUUAUUACCCUGCAUUUGAGAAGCAAGUUGACUACAGACAUUGCUGUGGUGACUUUAAUUUUUCUUGAUUUUUUUACCUUUUGUUAUUUUUAUUAUUGUCAGAUUAUCUUUUCACAUAUUUUCAUGAUAAAUAGAAAAUGUGCUAGGAGAUAUGUUUUCAGCCCAAAACAAUAUAAUGCACUUAAUGCCAGUUUAGUUUUUAUUGUGU
rnacentral:lncRNA from 1 species